rnacentral:lncRNA from 1 species
CCCAUGUUGCCAUGGCGAUGUGCUGGCGCAGCCUCUUUGCUAUUCCGCGCACGGAGCGUCUGGGCUGCAAAACCCCUCGGAGGACACGCUGGGGUCGGGGGGGGCAGCAUGGAGGGGGUGCCCUGCCUCACCCCCAUGCCUGCAGGGGGGGCUCCCUUGCAGUGUCCCUCUGCGGUGCUGGUGAUGGGGCAUGCCCCAUGGGGGUGGCCUGGUGCCCUGCCACCCCCUCACCGGGUGCCCCGGCUGGUCCCUGACACCCCUGUUGCUGGCAGGGCUCCCUUCUUGUGGGGGAGGGUUUGCAGUUAUAUAAACUCCCCAGGAACCAUUUCCUGCUGCCUCAUUAGUGAAGAUGGGUGUGUUAACGAGGCUCUCCCUACUAUGACAACGUGCGUCCCCUCUGCUACAGCGAUUCGGAUGCCGUGCUGCUCUGCUUCGACAUCAGCCGCCCUGAGACCCUGGACAGCGCAUCCAAGAAGUGGAAGACGGAGAUCCUGGACUACUGCCCCAACACCCGGGUGCUGCUCAUCGGCUGCAAGACAGACCUGCGGACGGACCUGAGCACCCUCAUGGAGCUCUCCCAUCAGAAGCAGGCGCCCAUCUCCUACGAGCAGGGCUGCGCUGCGGCCAAGCAGCUGGGAGCAGAGAGCUACCUGGAGUGCUCGGCCUUCACGUCGGAGAAGAGCGUGCACAGCAUCUUCCGGACUGUGUCCGGCAUCUGCCUCAGCAGACCCAGCCCGCAGCUGCCCAAGAGCCCCGCGCGCAGCCUCUCCAAGCGGCUCCUGCACCCGCCCA